AUUGAACGCUGGCGGCAUGCCUUACACAUGCAAGUCGAACGGUAACAGGUUAAGCUGACGAGUGGCGAACGGGUGAGUAAUAUAUCGGAACGUGCCCAGUCGUGGGGGAUAACUGCUCGAAAGAGCAGCUAAUACCGCAUACGACCUGAGGGUGAAAGCGGGGGAUCGCAAGACCUCGCGCGAUUGGAGCGGCCGAUAUCAGAUUAGGUAGUUAGUGGGGUAAAGGCCCACCAGGCCAACGAUCUGUAGCUGGUCUGAGAGGACGACCAGCCACACUGGGACUGAGACACGGCCCAGACUCCUACGGGAGGCAGCAGUGGGGAAUUUUGGACAAUGGGCGCAAGCCUGAUCCAGCCAUGCCGCGUGCGGGAAGAAGGCCUUCGGGUUGUAAACCGCUUUUGUCAGGGAAGAAAAGGCUUCUGCUAAUACCGGAGGCUCAUGACGGUACCUGAAGAAUAAGCACCGGCUAACUACGUGCCAGCCGCCGCAGUAA
rnacentral:rRNA from 1 species